rnacentral:rRNA from 1 species
AGAGUUUGAUCCUGGCUCAGAUUGAACGCUGGCGGCAUGCUUUACACAUGCAAGUCGAACGGCAGCACGAAAGAGCUUGCUCUUUUGGUGGCGAGUGGCGAACGGGUGAGUAAUGCAUCGGAACGUACCGAGUAAUGGGGGAUAACUAUCCGAAAGGAUAGCUAAUACCGCAUACGCUUUGAGAAGGAAAGUGGGGGCUCUUCGGACCUCACGUUAUUCGAGCGGCCGAUGUCUGAUUAGCUAGUUGGUGGGGUAAAGGCCUACCAAGGCGACGAUCAGUAGCGGGUCUGAGAGGAUGAUCCGCCACACUGGGACUGAGACACGGCCCAGACUCCUACGGGAGGCAGCAGUGGGGAAUUUUGGACAAUGGGCGCAAGCCUGAUCCAGCCAUGCCGCGUGUCUGAAGAAGGCCUUCGGGUUGUAAAGGACUUUUGUUAGGGAAGAAAAGGAUAGUGUUAAUACCAUUAUCUGCUGACGGUACCUAAAGAAUAAGCACCGGCUAACUACGUGCCAGCAGCCGCGGUAAUACGUAGGGUGCGAGCGUUAAUCGGAAUUACUGGGCGUAAAGCGAGCGCAGACGGUUACUUAAGCAGGAUGUGAAAUCCCCGGGCUCAACCUGGGAACUGCGUUCUGAACUGGGUAGCUAGAGUAUGUCAGAGGGGGGUAGAAUUCCACGUGUAGCAGUGAAAUGCGUAGAGAUGUGGAGGAAUACCGAUGGCGAAGGCAGCCCCCUGGGAUAAUACUGACGUUCAUGCUCGAAAGCGUGGGUAGCAAACAGGAUUAGAUACCCUGGUAGUCCACGCCCUAAACGAUGUCUACUAGUU